AGCGAACGCUGGCGGCAGGCCUAACACAUGCAAGUCGAACGAACUCUUCGGAGUUAGUGGCGGAUGGGUGUGUAACACGUGGGAACGUGCCUUUUGGUUCGGAAUAACUCAGGGAAACUUGUGCUAAUACCGAAUGUGCUCUUCGGGGGAAAGAUUUAUCGCCAUUAGAGCGGCCCGCGUCUUAUUAGCUUGUUGGUGUGGUAACGGCUCACCAAGGCGACGAUCAGUAGCUGGUUAGAGAGGAUGACCAGCCACACUGGGACUGAGACACGGCCCAGACUCCUACGGGAGGCAGCAGUGGGGAAUCUUGCGCAAUGGGCGAAAGCCUGACGCAGCCAUGCCGCGUAAAUGAUGAAGGUCUUAGGAAAGUAAAAUUCUUUCACCGGGGACGAUAAUGACGGUACCCGGAGAAGAAGCCCCGGCUAACUUCGUG
rnacentral:rRNA from 1 species